rnacentral:rRNA from 1 species
UACGUAGGGGGCAAGCGUUGUCCGGAAUCAUUGGGCGUAAAGAGCGCGUAGGCGGCCCUGUAAGUCCGCUGUGAAAGUCAAGGGCUCAACCCUUGAAUGCCGGUGGAUACUGCAGGGCUAGAGUCCGGAAGAGGCGAGUGGAAUUCCUGGUGUAGCGGUGAAAUUCGUAGAUAUUAGGAAGAACACCAGUGGCGAAGGCGGCUCACUGGUCCGGUACUGACGCUGAGGUGCGAAAGCGUGGGGAGCAAACAGG